GGAGGGUAUAGCUCAAGUGGUAGAGCCCAUGCUUACCAUGCAUGAGGUCCUGGGUUCAAUCCCCAGUACCUCCU
rnacentral:tRNA from 1 species